GAAUGCUGACAUAAGUAACGAUAAAGCGGGUGAAAAGCCCGCUCGCCGGAAGACCAAGGGUUCCUGUCCAACGUUAAUCGGGGCAGGGUGAGUCGACCCCUAAGGCGAGGCCGAAAGGCGUAGUCGAUGGGAAACGGGUUAAUAUUCCCGUACUUGGUGUUACUGCGAAGGGGGGACGGAGAAGGCUAUGUUGGCCGGGCGACGGUUGUCCCGGUUUAAGCGUGUAGGUGUGUGUUCCAGGUAAAUCCGGUUCACUUUAACACUGAGGCGUGACGACGAGGCACUACGGUGCUGAAGCAACAAAUGCCCUGCUUCCAGGAAAAGCCUCUAAGCAUCAGGUAACAUCAAAUCGUACCCCAAACCGACACAGGUGGUCAGGUAGAGAAUACCAAGGCGCUUGAGAGAACUCGGGUGAAGGAACUAGGCAAAAUGGUGCCGUAACUUCGGGAGAAGGCACGCUGACACGUAGGUGAAGUGAUUUACUCAUGGAGCUGAAGUCAGUCGAAGAUACCAGCUGGCUGCAACUGUUUAUUAAAAACACAGCACUGUGCAAACACGAAAGUGGACGUAUACGGUGUGACGCCUGCCCGGUGCCGGAAGGUUAAUUGAUGGGGUCAGCGCAAGCGAAGCUCCUGAUCGAAGCCCCGGUAAACGGCGGCCGUAACUAUAACGGUCCUAAGGUAGCGAAAUUCCUUGUCGGGUAAGUUCCGACCUGCACGAAUGGCGUAAUGAUGGCCAGGCUGUCUCCACCCGAGACUCAGUGAAAUUGAACUCGCUGUGAAGAUGCAGUGUACCCGCGGCAAGACGGAAAGACCCCGUGAACCUUUACUAUAGCUUGACACUGAACAUUGAGCCUUGAUGUGUAGGAUAGGUGGGAGGCUUUGAAGCGUGGACGCCAGUCUGCGUGGAGCCGACCUUGAAAUACCACCCUUUAAUGUUU
rnacentral:rRNA from 3 species